rnacentral:rRNA from 1 species
CCUACGGGAGGCAGCAGUGGGGGAUAUUGCACAAUGGGGGGAACCCUGAUGCAGCGACGCCGCGUGGGUGAAGGAGUAUUUCGGUAUGUAAAGCCCUAUCGGCAGGGAAGAAUUUAGACGGUACCUGACUAAGAAGCCCCGGCUAACUACGUGCCAGCAGCCGCGGUAAUACGUAGGGGGCAAGCGUUAUCCGGAUUCACUGGGUGGAAAGGGAGCGUAGACGGCCAGGCAAGCCUGGAGUGAAAGCCCGGGGCCCAACCCCGGGACUGCUCUGGGAACUGUCCGGCGGGAGUGCGGGAGGGGCAGGCGGAAUUCCUGGUGUAGCGGUGAAAUGCGUAGAUAUCAGGAGGAACACCGGCGGCGAAGGCGGCCUGCUGGACCGCGACUGACGUUGAGGCUCGAAAGCGUGGGGAGCGAACAGGAUUAGAUACCCUUGUAGUC